rnacentral:rRNA from 1 species
GUCGACGUGCGCCCUUGCGCACGUGGCGUACGGCUCAGUAACGCGUGACUAACCUGCCCUCGUGACGGGGAUAACCUCGGGAAACUGAGGAUAAUCCCCGAUAGGCGAGCGGCUUUGGAAGAACCGCUCACCGAAAGGGACGGAGGGAACGGCCUUCGUCCGCGCGAGGAUGGGGCUGCGUCCCAUCAGGCAGUUGGUGGGGUAAUGGCCCACCAAACCUAUAACGGGUACGGGCCGUGAGAGCGGGAGCCCGGAGAUGGGCACUGAGACAAGGGCCCAGGCUCUACGGAGCGCACCAAGCGCGAAACCUUCGCAAUGCGGGAAACCGUGACGGGGCCAUCCCGAGUGCAGGCUGCUGAGGCCUGCUUUUGCCCAGUGUAAGAAGCUGGGCGAAUAAGUGGGGGGCAAGACUGGUGUCAGCCGCCGCGGUAAUACCAGCUCCACGAGUGGUCAGGACGGUUAUUGGGCCUAAAGCGUCCGUAGCCGGCCCGGUAAGUUUAUGGUGAAAUCCGGCAUCUCAAGUGUCGGAGCGCUGUAAAUACUGCCGGGCUAGGGAACGGGAGAGGCCGAGGGUACCUCCGGGGUAGGGGCGAAAUCCUAUAAUCCCGGAGUGACGACCAGAGGCGAAAGCGCUCGGCUAGAACGCGUCCGACGGUGAGG